UACGUAGGCAGCGAGCGUUGUUCGGAAUUACUGGGCGUAAAGAGUGUGUAGGCGGUGUUCCCAGUCUGUUGUGAAAUCUCCCGGCUUAACUGGGAGGGUGCAGCGGAAACUAGAAUGCUAGAGGGUGGGAGAGGUAAGCGGAAUUCCUGGUGUAGCGGUGAAAUGCGUAGAGAUGUGGAGGAACACCAGUGGCGAAGGCGGCUUUCUGGUCUGUAACUGACGCUGAGGCGCGAAAGCGUGGGGAGCAAACAGG
rnacentral:rRNA from 1 species